ensembl:snRNA U6 U6 spliceosomal RNA
CUGUUCACAUUGGCAGCACAUGUACUAAAAUUGAACCGAUAUGGAGAAGAUUGGCAUGGUCCCUGUGCAAGGGUGACACGCAGUCAUGAAAUGUUCCCUGGUUUU